UACGUAGGGUGCGAGCGUUAAUCGGAAUUACUGGGCGUAAAGCGUGCGCAGGCGGUAAUGUAAGACAGAUGUGAAAUCCCCCGGGCUUAACCUGGGACCUGCAUUUGUGACUGCAUUGCUGGAGUGCGGCAGAGGGGGGAUGGAAUUCCGCGUGUAGCAGUGAAAUGCGUAGAUAUGCGGAGGAACACCGAUGGCGAAGGCAAUCCCCUGGGCCUGCACUGACGCUCAUGCACGAAAGCGUGGGGAGCAAACAGG
rnacentral:rRNA from 1 species